rnacentral:rRNA from 1 species
UACGUAGGGGGCAAGCGUUGUCCGGAAUCAUUGGGCGUAAAGCGCGUGUAGGCGGCCAGAAAAGUCCGCUGUGAAAACUCGAGGCUCAACUUCGAGCUGUCGGUGGAAACUUUCUGGCUAGAGUCCGGUAGGGGAGCGUGGAAUUCCCGGUGUAGCGGUGAAAUGCGCAGAUAUCGGGAGGAACACCAGUGGCGAAGGCGGCGCUCUGGGCCGGAACUGACGCUGAGGAGCGAAAGCGUGGGUAGCAAACAGG